GGGGGGGACGAGCGUUGUUCGGAUUUACUGGGCGUAAAGGGCGCGUAGGCGGACUGUCAAGUCGGAAGUGAAAACCGGAGGCUUAACCUCAGGCUUGCUUUCGAUACUGUCAGUCUUGAGUACAGGAGAGGAAAGCGGAAUUCCAGGUGUAGCGGUGAAAUGCGUAGAUAUCUGGAAGAACACCAGUAGCGAAGGCGGCUUUCUGGUCUGAUACUGACGCUAAAGCGCGAAGGCUAGGGGAGCAAACAGGAUUAGAUACCCUGGUAGUCCUAGCGGUAAACGAUGGGGUACUAGGUGUCGGGGGUAUCGACCCCCUCGGUGCCGAAGUUAACGCAUUAAGUACCCCGCCUGGGGAGUACGACCGCAAGGUUG
rnacentral:rRNA from 1 species